AAGUUAUAAGGAAAUCCACCGAUCAGCCACGAUUUGUCAACGUGGUGUUUGAAAAUAAUCGUAAAACAUCUACUUAGCUUGAGUAUUGAAACUGUAACAUAUCUCAUGAUGGCCAAACCUGUUGUUAUCGCCCAGCCUGGUCCAUUUCCUGAAUUUGUUGCCACAGCCAAUGGUGUUUGGUUCUCUUCGCUUCAAAUGGAAGGAGAUGUGUAAAUCAGAAACCCUUGACUUAUAAGGAACUGAUUAUCAAAACCACCAAAACGCAGUGAUAACUGAACAAAAUAUAUAAUUUUGAAAUAACACAAUUAAUGAUAAAUAUAUAUAUUGAAUAAUUUAGCUAAACUCCUAUUUUAAUGGUCUUAACUGAUAUUUUGUACUUUUUGCAUGUUACAUCAAUAAUAUACAUGUACAUGUAAAUUAAGAAAUUACGUACCGUCAUAUUUUGUUGUAUUCCAUAGGACAGCGAUUAAAACAAAUCCACCACC
rnacentral:sRNA from 1 species